AACGUUGAAACAAACGACAAACACGAUUAACAUCGAUUUUCCCGUGACAAUUUCCCCAUGCGACAGAAACGGUGACGACGUUCGUGCCUCGGGAUUGAGUACAACGUUCACCGUGACGUCGAGGAGCUUACCUCAUCGAGGUGCAUUAUAAAGUCAAAGUGCAACUCAUUCUCGGCCUCGUUUUACGCAAUCGUCGUCGUGUUCCUACAUUCCUAAGAAAGAACGUCGUACGGACGUGGAACGCGUUCGAGAUUAAAAUUCGUGGACAUUUUUGGUUGCGUUGGCCGGAAACGGAAACCACAUUGACGCAAGAUGCACCGACGAGCCGUGAAACGUGACUUUCGUAGACUUUCCCUCGCUCUUUCAACGACGAUCCGUUUGGAACGUGCUUUGCAAGUUUCCUACCUCCGGGGGUUAAUCGUCGCGAACGGAGCAAAGAAACGGAAGAUUUCCCCGUGAUUAAGGUUCUAAGAAAACGGAGGAGAAGCAAGUUCGCUUCAUCGCGAAUCAACGAGGCACGGAAUUCUUGCCAAUUCGCGUGACAAGACGAAUCGUUGGAGUUGUCGCGGAUGGAAAAUUUGCCUGGUUCGCAUGUUACACGCCGAUGCAACUUUUGGUCGGUCGUAUCGAGAAAAGGCGAUCAAUUUUCACGAUGAACAACUUUGCGGACUGCCGAGUCUUGGCAACUGUCUCAAAAGAGACAUAUAAACUCGGUUAACGUCAAACAGGUUCGUAAUUUUUGAGAGAACGUUUCACGUGUGUCGACUAAGGACUCGACAGCUGGCAAAUCGUGCUGAUAUUAAGAACAUAAUUCUGGCGGAGAGACGUUAACACGAGUGUUCGCAAAGCGCAAAUGUCGUUCGACCGGGGUUUCGCGAAUUCUAAAGAAACGAUUUGGCAGCUUUCCCGCGUCAGAAGGCAAGGUGAGAUCGAGUUCUUAAAAACAAAGCAGUUGACAACCUGUCUUCUUUAUCUUUACUCAGAAGAGGCGCGUUACCCCCGAAGAAAAACUAUAACUCACUCUUUUCUGCAAAUUUUUAGAUUUUCUUGGUAGAGAAUACAAUGUGUUAUUUUAUAAUGAUUUCGAGGAAUUCGGACUUUAAAACAAGAACAAGAACACAAAAACAAGAACUCAAUAAAAAGAUCUCCUUCUAUUUUUUGUU